AUACGCUGCGAUAAGCCGUGGGGAGCUGCGAAUGAGCUUUGAUCCAUGGAUCUCCGAAUGGGGAAACCCACCUUAAAUGCUUGGAAAAUCAUUUUGGUUGUCGGACUUUGGUCCGACGGUACGGCGAACGAUCGCCGACGGCCUUUGGCCUUGCGGUGCUGCGCACCGAACACGUUUCCCUCGCGGGGGACGGAGUUCGAAGCGAAGCGUCGCAAGCGCAAAGCGCGUCGCCGGUCGUCCGGCGUUAAAGAACCAAAAUGGUUUCCAAGCAUUGUUGAAAGGUAUCUUGUCCUGAAUUCAAUAGGGAUAAGAAGCGAACGCAGGGAACUGAAACAUCUAAGUACCUGCAGGAAAGGACAUCAACCGAGACUCCGCAAGUAGUGGCGAGCGAACGCGGACCAGGCCAGUGGCAAUGAGGAAUAAAGUGGAAGGAUCUGGAAAGGUCGGCCGUAGCGGGUGAUAGCCCCGUACACGUAGAACACUCAUUGUCCUUGAGUAAGGCGGGACACGAGAAAUCCUGUCUGAACAUGGGGAGACCACUCUCCAAGCCUAAGUACUCGUGCAUGACCGAUAGC
rnacentral:rRNA from 1 species